UGUGAGCAGCACCACACAUCCCAGUGGUGACUCGAGGACUGAAGGAAAGGGACAGAGUCAGGGCCCUGCUGACACCCACGUUCCAGGACCCUAUCUGCUCCCGUCUUGUUAGAUGUCAAGCCCAAGUUCUGCCAAGAUGGAAGCAAGAGCACCACACCCUCCCGACUAUCUCAGCAUUUCCAGGGAACUUCCCUGGAGGUUCAGCACUCAGGAGGAGCCUUCUCUUUCCCCCUCCUGCCUGAUGCCUCAAGUCAACCCUCAGCUCAUCUGCCCCGUUUGGAUCUGGGUCUGCCCGCCCGUGGCAUCUGUAGCUGUGAAUCACGGCUCUGCCUCUCCUGAGUGUCAUUACACCUGGCUGGAUGAAUGAUGCACAUCUGUACAGCAUCUCCUAGUAAGAUAAUGGGAAGCUUCUUCCUUAGACCCUAGAUGUCAACAUCCCAAGAAUAAGGUCUCUGUUUGGGUUAAAUAUUUA
rnacentral:lncRNA from 1 species